CAUCAAAUGGACAUCCCGCAGACCGCUAGCAAACUACACAAACUAUCCUUAGGGGAUACUGGAAAAUAAAUAAGCCGAAAGGAGGACCUGAGUCCUUGGACCACAUCUGGUGAAUCCUGGCUCUCCCUUGUCCUGUCCACCUGGUUAUGUUGCCAAUCUAGUUUCUGCCUGAUGAUUCCUGAUGUCACUUCCGACAGACCAACUGGUGCGGCGCUGAUCUGGAUUCUGCUUAAAGGCUCUGAAAACAGUCCACCUAAAUCGAGACUCAUCAUACCAGGCAACAUUCUUCCAGUCUUCAACUGUCCAAUUUUGGUCUCGGAGUGAUUCUUUCAUUUCACUUGGAAAGAAGGAGUGGGGAAAUGGAAAGAGUGAGGCCAUAACCGCCAUCCUUUGUGUUCUGUCUAAUUGGCCAGCCAGGGAAAUCAGCCAUUGAAAAGGUGGCACAGAGAAUGGGAAGCUAUCCUGUAUGAGGUAGUGUUUGGGGGAACUUGUCAGGGGGCCGACAUUAACAACAUGCAGAAGAAGCAGCAGCAGCAACCUUGAUGGUCUCCCACAGGAGAGACUUGUCCCGGUAAAGCAAGCAAUACUGACAGUCACCCUCGGCUAAAUGCCUCUUCUAACUGGACAGACAAACAGACUGGACAGACAAACAGAACACAUAUGCAACUUCCCAAAUUCUUCAAUAUCCUGCUAACAACUUGCCGAUUCUGCAUCAUGCAAACGGAACGGAAAACAAGGAAAUUCUUUAUUUAGGAGUAUUGCUCAAUACGUUGGUUGUAGGCUAGGAAUCAAUUUGAAAACGUAACUCUCUAGUGAUUACAAUACAUAUUUUUUGGUUUCAAAUUUUGAACUCAGUUUACUUCUAGUUUGUUUUUAGCUUUGGUGUACAUGUUUCUCAUUGACAAAAAUAGUCAUAAUGUUCUUAGAUUUCUUCCAUAGGGGAUUGUUAUAUCCAUUUCAAACUGGUUCUGUGUUUCAUGUAGGUUUACACCAACUCGCCAUUUUAAUAAUGUUGUUAAUUAUUUAUAGGAUAGGAUGACUUGGCUAAAUAUAAGAAAAUAUAUUUUCUGUAGAGCUAAUUGAUUUAAAAAUAUUGACAAAAAUCACCUUGUCCUGAAGAGAUUUACACAGCUGUGAAAACGGUGAGCUAGGGAACACCAAAAUGAAACAGACUUUUACUGAAGCAUUUUAAAAUUCCAAACAGAAUAAAUGAAUGGUGAAAUGUGAAAAUAACCAGUACUAAAUUUUGCCACUAGGUUUUAUGGGGAUUAUGACAUGUCAGCUAUUUCAGUUGAUUUAGUUUGAAUUUAGGGACUGUUCAAGGCUCAGAAUAAAAUGUUCCCUUUCAUCAAAUCUAAGACAUGACACAAAUGUCAAUGAAAACGCACAUGUGAAUUUCCUUGGAGGUGCGCAACACAUCCCCAACAAGAUCCACACUGCCAUCACCGAGAAAUGUUAUAUUACAUUUUAGAGAAGGUCUAGCUGGCUAACAGCCAUCAGUUGUCCUCAACACAGAAGCAAGGUAAGGUUUCAAUAGAACUACCUACUGUCUUUUAAGUCCAAAUGUCCUAAAGGUUUCAUGAAACACAGAUGCCAAAAUGCUGCUGCUGCUAACAAAUUAACAUUCACCAUUGACAGUUCACCAGUGACACACAGAUGUGAACCAGUAAUAUAUGUGAUAUUCCAGCUUUGAAACAAACCUGACCGCCCUUCAUGGCAUUGUUAUGACUGUUUGAGCUAUAUAAAAAGUUUUUAACUUGCCAAGCUAGCUGUCAAGUGCGCUGACGGACAUUAGCUCAGAUUGAAACCAACACCAAAUGUUUGACAAUUUGCCGCUCAGCUACAUUCCAAUGGCUGCAAUAAACUUUUGCUCAUUGUAUAGCUAGAUAAUAGGGAUGUGCAUCUUUCCUUUUCAAGGAGAUUUGGUAAUGAUCUUAGCAAUUUGGUUUGAUUAGUGGAUUGAUUAGUGGAUCAGUCUCAGCUGUCUGUAGUUGUUUUAUUAAUAACCUAGUGAGGCCAAAAAAAAAUCCUCAAGGACACUAGCAUUCAUGCACUGUGGCAGUUAGUUGAUAAGCCUGCCUAUUUAGGCUUGCACACCACUAGUUCUGUGAUCAUUAACUUUAGUUAACAGACUGGGGGGACCAACGACAAGGUUUGAAAAUGCCUGUCCAGUGAUUAAUGUGCCAACAAGAGAUGUAGUUGAGUCACUAAAAUAAAAGUCCAAGUAAAGCCCCAAGUCUCAUGUGAGUUAAUUUCCUGGCCACCAAUGGUCAAGUCACGAGUCUCUAUGGCCGAAGAUUGAGUUCUGUUGCUCUAGCCCUGGUCAUACUGUUGAAAUUGGAAUAUUUCAUGGCCGGAAGACCUAUUAGGCUGAACCAGAGAGCCCCUCUGAAAGGCCACUGUAAGCCUUUUAAAUUUGUCAUUUUGUAAGAAUCCUCUAUAUCCUUUUCUCAGGUCACCAAAAAUUCAAGUUAAAACACUUGCUUUAAAAAAAAAACACCAGAGGGAAUAUGAUCCUGCUAUCAAAAUGCCCCCCUAGACUAGUUCCCCCCCUAGACAAGACUAGUUCCUAAGACCUUGGUUUAUGCCCCCUCCUCUACCCUUUCAACUAAACCCAGAUUAUAAAUCACAAUAAAUUGUAGGUAUAGUGAUGCAUAAAUCUGCAAUGCUUUAGGCUUGAAAGACUUUAAAAGGUGCAAGUAAGACGCAGCUCUAAUAUACAUGCAAAUAUCUUUGUUUAGUCUCUAUGGAUGAGUUAUAUGACCUUUAAAAUUCAAAGACCUAUAACCAUUUUCUAUGGAAGGGAAUUGAGUCAUAUAUACAAAGCAAGACAUUCACAAUACAUUAAGCUAUUUUCUCUCUGAUAAUGGCAGACCUUUUAUUUUGUCAAUUCUACACAUUCACAGUUAAAUUAAAAUGUUUAGCAAUUACAG
ensembl:lncRNA